rnacentral:rRNA from 2 species
AAAUUGAAGAGUUUGAUCAUGGCUCAGAUUGAACGCUGGCGGCAGGCCUAACACAUGCAAGUCGAACGGUAACAGGAAGCAGCUUGCUGCUUUGCUGACGAGUGGCGGACGGGUGAGUAAUGUCUGGGAAACUGCCUGAUGGAGGGGGAUAACUACUGGAAACGGUAGCUAAUACCGCAUAACGUCGCAAGACCAAAGAGGGGGACCUUCGGGCC